rnacentral:misc_RNA from 1 species
GAUGAAGAACGCAGCGAAAUGCGAUAAGUAGUGUGAAUUGCAGAAUUCAGUGAAUCAUCGAAUCUUUGAACGCACAUUGCGCCCGCCAGUAUUCUGGCGGGCAUGCCUGUCUGAGCGUCAUUUCAACCCUCAUGCCCCUAGGGCGUGGUGUUGGGGAUCGGCCAAAGCCCGCGAGGGACGGCCGGCCCCUAAAUCUAGUGGCGGACCCGUCGUGGCCUCCUCUGCGAAGUAGUGAUAUUCCGCAUCGGAGGGCGACGAGCCCCUGCCGUUAAACCCCCAACUUUCCAAGGUUGACCUCAGAUCAGGUAGGAAUACCCGCUGAACUUAAGCAUAUCAAUAAGCGGAGGA